GUAGGGAAUAUUGGGCAAUGGAUGCAAGUCUGACCCAGCCAUCCCGCGUGCCGGAAGAAGGCCCUCAGGGUUGUAAACGGCUUUUGACGGUGAAGAACCGACAGGAUGCGUCCUGUUUUGACGGUAGCCGUUGAAUAAGCACCGGCUAACUCCGUGCCAGCAGCCGCGGUAAUCCGGAGGGUGCGAGCGUUGUCAGGAUUUAUUGGGUUUAAAGGGUGCGUAGGCUGGAAGGUCAGUCAGCGGUGAAAAGCUAGCGCUUAACGAUAGUCUUGCCGCAGAUACUUCCUUUCUUGGAUGAGGAGGAGGCCACUGGAACGGAUGGUGUAGCGGUGAAAUGCAUAGAUAUCAUCCAGAACACCGAUUGCGAAGGCAGGUGGCUGUACCUUAAUCGACGCUGAUGCACGAAAGCAUGGGGAGCAAACAGGAUUAGAAACCCCAGUAGUCC
rnacentral:rRNA from 1 species